UUCGAUGCAACGCGAAGAACCUUACCUGGUCUUGACAUCCCGGAGACCCUUAGGAAACUAGGGGGUGGCUUCCAUCUGGAAGAAUCUGGAGGACAGGUGCUGCAUGGCUGUCGUCAGCUCGUGUCGUGAGAUGUUGGGUUAAGUCCCGCAACGAGCGCAACCCUUGCCUUUAGUUGCCAGCAGUUCGGCUGGGCACUCUAAAGGGACUGCCGGUGUUAAACCGGAGGAAGGUGGGGAUGACGUCAAGUCCUCAUGGCCUUUAUGACCAGGGCUACACACGUACUACAAUGGCCGAUACAAAGGGCAGCGACACUGCGAAGUGAAGCCAAUCCCGUAAAAUCGGUCUCAGUCCGGAUUGGAGUCUGCAACUCGACUCCAUGAAGUUGGAAUCGCUAGUAAUCGUGGAUCAGCAUGCCACGGUGAAUACGUUCCCGGGCCUU
rnacentral:rRNA from 1 species